rnacentral:rRNA from 1 species
UUCCGGUUGAUCCCGCCGGACCCGACCGCUAUCGGGGUGGGGCUAAGCCAUGCAAGCCGAGGGCCCCGGGCUAUGGCGGGGCCCGGCGGACGGCUCAGUAGCACGUGGCUAACCUACCCUCGGGACGGGGAUAUCCCCGGGAAACUGGGGGUAAUCCCCGAUAGGUGCGGACUCCUGGAAUGGGUCCGCGCUGAAAGGGGUGUAGCGCCAUGCCCGCUACACCCGCCCGAGGAUGGGGCUGCGUCCCAUCAUGGUAGUUGGCGGGGUAACGGCCCGCCAAGCCGAAGACGGGUGGGGGCCGUGAGAGCGGGAGCCCCGAGAUGGGCACUGAGACAAGGGCCCAGGCCCUACGGGGCGCAGCAGGCGCGAAACCUCCGCAAUGCGGGCAACCGUGACGGGGUCACCCCGAGUGCCGCCCGAUGAGGGCGGCUUUUCCCCGGUCUAAAAAGCCGGGGGAAUAAGCGGGGGGCAAGUCUGGUGUCAGCCGCCGCGGUAAUACCAGCCCCGCGAGUGGUCGGGACUUUUAUUGGGCCUAAAGCGUCCGUAGCCGGCCCGGCAAGUCCCCCCUUAAAGCCCACGGCUCAACCGUGGGAGCGGGGGGAUACUGCCGGGCUAGGGGGCGGGAGAGGCCGGGGGUACUCCCGGGGUAGGGGCGAAAUCCGUUAAUCCCGGGAGGACCGCCAGUGGCGAAGGCGCCCGGCUGGAACGCGCCCGACGGUGAGGGACGAAAGCUGGGGGAGCAAAGGGGAUUAGAUACCCCCGUAGUCCCAGCUGUAAACGAUGCGGGCUAGGUGUUGGGCGGGCUUCGAGCCCGCCCAGUGCCGUAGGGAAGCCGUUAAGCCCGCCGCCUGGGGAGUACGGCCGCAAGGCUGAAACUUAAAGGAAUUGGCGGGGGAGCACCACAAGGGGUGAAGCUUGCGGUUUAAUUGGAUUCAACGCCGGG